UAAUGGUUUAAAGUCCUAUUGGACGCUGUUCUCUAGGAUGAACCAUCUGGUGAUACUUCCGUGGAUCUUGACAGUCUUGGUGAUGCAGAGUUAGAUGCACAGUUGGAUUCUUUGAGAAAUAAACUUACUCAGGCAGGUAAAGAGUCUGCUGACCUCAACAGAGAACUUCGAGCACUGGAAAGGCAGUCUCGCAUGAGCAAUCACUCUGUGGCAACUCUUAAUGAAGCAUUGCAGUUUUAUAAUGAACAGAAUGUGCAAGAGAA